GUUUGAUCCUGGCUCAGGACGAACGCUGGCGGCGUGCCUAAUACAUGCAAGUCGAGCGAGCGGAACCAACAGAUUUACUUCGGUAAUGACGUUGGGAAAGCGAGCGGCGGAUGGGUGAGUAACACGUGGGGAACCUGCCCCUAAGUCUGGGAUACCAUUUGGAAACAGGUGCUAAUACCGGAUAAUAAAGCGGAUCGCAUGAUCAGCUUUUGAAAGGCGGCGUAAGCUGUCGCUAAGGGAUGGCCCCGCGGUGCAUUAGCUAGUUGGUAAGGUAACGGCUCACCAAGGCGACGAUGCAUAGCCGAGUUGAGAGACUGAUCGGCCACAUUGGGACUGAGACACGGCCCAAACUCCUACGGGAGGCAGCAGUAGGGAAUCUUCCACAAUGGACGCAAGUCUGAUGGAGCAACGCCGCGUGAGUGAAGAAGGGUUUCGGAUCGUAAAGCUCUGUUGUUGGUGAAAAAAGAUAGAGGUAGUAACUGGCCCUUUUUUGACGGGGAUCAAACAGAAAGUCACGGCUAACUACUUGCCAGCAGCCGCGGUAAUACGUAUGUGGCAAGCGUUGUCCUGAUUUAUUGUGUUUGGAGCAAGCGCAGCGCGGGAAAAAAAAUAUAAUGUAUGAGAAAGCCCUCGGCUUUACCGAAGAGCAGCGUAAAAAAAUGUUUUUUUUUUGUGCGGAAAAAGAGAGAGGGACUCUCUGUGUGGCGGGGGGGAGUGUAUAUAUAUGGAAAAAAACACCAGUGGGAAGGGGGGCUCUGUUCUGCACUGACACUCAGACGCUCAAGCAUAUGUAGAGCACACGAGAAUAUAUACCCCGAUGUCCGUGCGUACAAUAAGAGUGAUAUGUGUGGAGGGGGUUUCCUCUCUCUGUGUGCAUCUAACACAUAAAGACUCCGCCUGGGGAGUACGACCGCAAGGUUGAAACUCAAAGGAAUUGACGGGGGCCCGCACAAGCGGUGGAGCAUGUGGUUUAAUUCGAAGCAACGCGAAGAACCUUACCAGGUCUUGACAUCUAGUGCAAUCUGUAGAGAUACGGAGUUCCCUUCGGGGACGCUAAGACAGGUGGUGCAUGGCUGUCGUCAGCUCGUGUCGUGAGAUGUUGGGUUAAGUCCCGCAACGAGCGCAACCCUUGUUAUUAGUUGCCAGCAUUAAGUUGGGCACUCUAAUGAGACUGCCGGUGACAAACCGGAGGAAGGUGGGGAUGACGUCAAGUCAUCAUGCCCCUUAUGACCUGGGCUACACACGUGCUACAAUGGGCAGUACAACGAGAAGCAAGCCUGCGAAGGCAAGCGAAUCUCUGAAAGCUGUUCUCAGUUCGGACUGCAGUCUGCAACUCGACUGCACGAAGCUGGAAUCGCUAGUAAUCGCGGAUCAGCACGCCGCGGUGAAUACGUUCCCGGGCCUUGUACACACCGCCCGUCACACCAUGGGAGUCUGCAAUGCCCAAAGCCGGUGGCCUAACCUUCGGGAAGGAGCCGUCUAGGGCAGGGCAGAUGACUGGGGUGAAGUCGUAACAAGGUAGCC
rnacentral:rRNA from 1 species